rnacentral:rRNA from 1 species
UACAGAGGGUGCAAGCGUUAAUCGGAAUUACUGGGCGUAAAGCGCGCGUAGACGGUGGCGUAAGUCGGGUGUGAAAGCCCCGGGCUCAACCUGGGAAUUGCAUUCGAGACUGUGUCGCUAGGGUGCGGAAGAGGGAAGUGGAAUUUCCGGUGUAGCGGUGAAAUGCGUAGAUAUCGGAAGGAACAUCAGUGGCGAAAGCGACUUCCUGGUCCAGCACCGACGUUCAGGCGCGAAAGCGUGGGGAGCAAACAGGAUUAGAAACCCUAGUAGUCC